AGUUGAUCCAUAUAGGUUGUAGGUUAUUGUUAAUCUGCUUAACAUUAAAUCUCCCUAUAACCCCACUUGACUAGCUUGGC
rnacentral:Y_RNA from 1 species